UUGAACGCUGGCGGCAUGCUUUACACAUGCAAGUCGAACGGCAGCGCGGGCUUCGGCCUGGCGGCGAGUGGCGAACGGGUGAGUAAUGCAUCGGAACGUGCCCAGUAGUGGGGGAUAGCCCGGCGAAAGCCGGAUUAAUACCGCAUACGACCUGAGGGUGAAAGCGGGGGACCGAAAGGCCUCGCGCUAUUGGAGCGGCCGAUGUCGGAUUAGCUAGUUGGUGGGGUAAAGGCUUACCAAGGCGACGAUCCGUAGCUGGUCUGAGAGGACGACCAGCCACACUGGGACUGAGACACGGCCCAGACUCCUACGGGAGGCAGCAGUGGGGAAUUUUGGACAAUGGGGGCAACCCUGAUCCAGCCAUGCCGCGUGCGGGAAGAAGGCCUUCGGGUUGUAAACCGCUUUUGUUCGGGAAGAAAUCCUCUGGGCUAAUACCCCGGGGGGAUGACGGUACCGGAAGAAUAAGCACCGGCUAACUACGUG
rnacentral:rRNA from 1 species